AACGAACGCUGGCGGCAUGCCUAACACAUGCAAGUCGAACGAGACCUUCGGGUCUAGUGGCGCACGGGUGCGUAACGCGUGGGAACCUGCCCUUAGGUUCGGAAUAACUCCCCGAAAGGGGUGCUAAUACCGGAUAAUGUCUUCGGACCCAAGAUUUAUCGCCUUUGGAUGGGCCCGCGUUGUAUUAGCUAGUUGGUAGGGUAAAAGCCUACCAAGGCGACGAUCCAUAGCUGGUCUGAGAGGAUGAUCAGCCACACUGGGACUGAGACACGGCCCAGAAUCCUACGGGAGGCAGCAGAGGGGAAUAUUGGACAAUGGGCGAAAGCAUGAUCCAGCAAUGCCGCGUGAGUGAUGAAGGCGUUAGGGUUGUAAAGCUCUUUUACCCGGGAUGAUAAUGACAGUACCGGGAGAAUAAGCUCCGGCUAACUCCGUG
rnacentral:rRNA from 1 species